rnacentral:rRNA from 1 species
CACCGGCAGCUCUAGUGGUAGCAGUUUUUAUUGGGCCUAAAGUGUCCGUAGCCGGUUUAAUAAGUCUCUGGUGAAAUCCUGUAGCUUAACUGUGGGAAUUGCUGGAGAUACUAUUAGACUUGAGACCGGGAGAGGUUAGAGGUACUCCCAGGGUAGAGGUGAAAUUCUGUAAUCCUGGGAGGACCGCCUGUUGCGAAGGCGUCUAACUGGAACGGUUCUGACGGUGAGGGACGAAAGUUAGGGGCGCGAACCGGAUUAGAUACCCGGGUAGUCCUAACUGUAAACGACGCGGACUUGGUGUUGGGGUGGCUUUGAGCUGCUCCAGUGCCGAAGGGAAGCUGUUAAGUCCGCCGCCUGGGAAGUACGGUCGCAAGACUGAAACUUAA